ACAAUCUAUGCAGCCGGCCCAUUCAAAAAGUGGGUACUCCAAGCUAACCAUAAGAAGUGGACAUAACCUACACCCGAACCCUCUUAGAAACAGAAGUAGAUAGGUAUUGUAGCAUGUAUGCCAAAAUAACCCCCCAUGAAAAGCAGAGGGAGUAUGUUACAUAUAAAAAGAAUACAACUAAAAUUGAUUUUUUAAAUUAAGUGCAUGCUCAGGGCUCAGAUUGAGAUUGCAACUGAAAACUGCAACAACGACAUCACCGAUUUGGGGACUUGAAUAAUUAAUGGGGAUUUCCAUAUCAUUAUAAGCACCAUUCUGCUUGUAUAUAAGCAUCCCCAGGAAUCCCAACUAGGCAAAGUAACAAACUAAGCAGUAUUUAGAUUCUCUUUGUCUUUCCAUAGUGUACACAACUUUUUUUUCUCCACUAGAAAUGGCAACUACUGGUGCUGAUAAAUUCAUGAUUUCAUUAUUCGCGCCAACCACCAAAUUCACAAAAUUUAGUAGCAAUCCGACCGUUUCAACUCGCCAAUCAUGGGUUUUGACUCGACAAUCCUCCGUUUAUCGUUCAAUAACAAUGUCCAUGAACGGUUGCAAAGGAGACCCAAGGAAACCAUUGGAGAUGAUUAAAACUCAAACGUUUCAGCCCGUUUCAACUCCUGAAAUGGCAAUGAAUCUUCUGAAAUCUACAAUUACGGAGUUAGACUUCGAUCCACCGUCGUAUAGUUCCGGAAUCAUUCGUCUCGAGGUCCCAAUUCAACAGAAAAUAGAGGCUAUUUCAUGGCUUCAAGACCAGAACAACCAGCUUACCCGUUGUUUCUUCUCCGGUAGAAGUCAGAGUAUCAUAUCACCGGAUUUAGUCAUCGAUGAUGAACCAUCUAGCAGCAAUGGACAUCAUAGCACAAAAACUACAUCCGACUCCAAGUUGGUUAGUGUUGCCGGUGUCGGGACCGCAGUAUUCUUCCAACAGUCGAACCCAUUUUCUUUAAAUGACUGGAGAUGCAUCAGAAGGUUCUUGUCUGAGGAUUCUCCGUUAAUCCGCGCAUAUGGUGCUCUUCGAUUUGACCCAACGACUAGUGUUUCUUCGGAGUGGAAGGGUUUUGGUUCAUUUUACUUUAUGGUUCCCCUGGUUGAGUUUGAUGAGCUUGAAGGAAGUUCUAUGCUUGCUGUAAAUAUUGCUUGGGAUGAUACUGUUUCAUGGACUUGGCAAGAUGCAAUAAACGCACUUCGGCCUGAACUUCGUCAGAUUUCUUCUGUAGUCACUAAGUUGAGAAAGGAAGUUCCGAAAACAGUCAUACUUAGUAGCAAUCAUGUUCCUAGCAAAUCAGGUUGGGAUGAUGGUGUCAAUAAAGCUUUGGAGACGAUAAAUGGAAGCAAAUCAGAAUUGGUUAAGGUUGUUCUUGCACGAAGCAGUAGAGUUGUUACUAAAUCUGAUAUUGAUCCUCUUGAAUGGUUGGCACAUUUACAGGUUGAAGGACAGGAUGCUUAUCAGUUCUGUAUUCAACCACCUAAUGCACCAGCAUUUAUCGGCAACACUCCAGAGCAACUAUUUCACCGUAAACGCUUCAAUGUUUCGAGUGAGGCUUUAGCUGCAACCCGUGGAAGAGGAGAAACAAAGUCAUUAGAUCGUCAAAUGGAAGAUGAUUUACUUCGAAGUCCUAAAGAUCACCUUGAGUUUACAAUAGUAAGAGAAAACAUUAGAGGAAAGUUAGAGGAUAUAUGCAACAUGGUAUUGGUUGAACCAUUAAAGACAGUUCGAAAGCUUCCACGAGUACAACACCUGUAUGCAAAAUUAUCAGGUAGAUUAAGGAAUGAAGACGACGAGUUUCGCGUCUUGUCAUCUCUUCACCCAACUCCAGCAGUCUGUGGAUUUCCUACAGAAGUGGCACGCCAAUUUAUAGCUGAAACUGAAAUGUUUGAUCGGGGAAUGUAUGCCGGACCUGUUGGUUGGUUUGGUGGAAAAGAAACUGAAUUUGCUGUUGGGAUUAGAUCAGCCUUGGUGGAAAAGGGUCUUGGCGGAUUAAUAUACGCAGGAGCAGGAAUAGUUAAUGGAACUAAGUCAUCUUCAGAAUGGGAAGAAUUGGAACUUAAGACAUCUCAGUUCACCAAGCUGAUAGAAGGUGAGAAAUCUCUUUCACUCUCUAGAUGCGAAGAAAUGGAUAAUAUAGUGACUACCAACUGAAAGAGAUAACACAGCCAGUGCUGAUGUACAGUGGUAAAGCUUUUGUCUGAAGUUCCAAGCACAUAGUUCGCUAGGGGUGAAUGUGAAUAAUAUCAUAAAGACAUUUAAAAAAUACAGAAUGCCGGUUUUUCUAUUUUCCUCAUGGAGGGCGUCUGCCUGCAUACAAGAAAUAACAACUAGAUGGCAUAUACAGUUUCCAAGUUGCAGAUCAAAGCAAUUUCGUCCCAACGUCUAUAUUGUAACUUUGUCAUCUAUGUAUCAUCUCAAUAAUGUUGUACCCGGCUUAGUUUUCUAAAAGUUAUAGUGUCAUAUUCGAUAAAAAGAGCUGUCCUGUAUAGUAAGUUUAUGAAGGCUGGGAUGAGAGUGAAAAAUUGUGUGACGAAUGCCGUUACAGUGAAACCACAUUCCACUUCUUGCUGUAUACGUCAGCUAGCUUAGGUAGCACUAAGAGGAUAUAUAUAUAUCUUGAAUUUACGCA